AGCAUGUUAGCUCAGGGGAAGAGCGCCGGGCUCAUAACCCGGAGGUAAGAUGAUUCCCAGCUAUCUAAUUCUUCAAUAUCAGACUAACAAACAAUAGGUCCCUGGAUCGAAACCAGGACAUGCUA